UCCAGAAGGGCCCACAAAAGA
rnacentral:piRNA from 1 species